CGCAGCCUCGGCGGGGCCCGGCCGGCGGCGGGGAGGUCGCGGGGCCGGGAGGCGCGAGGUUGUUCGAGAAGCUGAAAUAGAAAUCAAUUUCUUGAUUUCAGUAGGAAUAGUGAGUCCCUAAGAGGGGAGAAGCCAGCCUGGGUGGCCACACAUCCGUGUCUGUCUGCAGGUGUGUGUGUGGUGGCAUAUGUUGGUAAAAACACUGUGGAUUCCCAGGCAAG
rnacentral:lncRNA from 10 species